AGACGAGAGCUGCUUUUGAACACUGAAAUCAAGGUCUGAAACAACAAAGGCCAAAGAGGGGCCACUGUGAGCCCCAACCCAGUGUUAGACACAUCAAAAUUUGAGCAACAGCUUCCAAAUGAUGAUGAAGAUGAAACAUCUGACCUACUUCAGCAUGUUUAUUGAUGGCUACAGGUUUGAGUCAGCCUGGGUCACUUCAUAGAAAACUGAUGCCAGCCUCCAUCCCAUAGAGUGGGAUUUCACAGAGCAGUGAAAAGCCAGGCCCUCCAGCCUCAGCAUUCCUCUUGAGUUAAUGGAAAGGUUUGUUUGAAAAGUCCUGAUUCCGUAGGGUUGGAUGGAGCCCCAGAUUUUUAGUAAAUUCUAAAACAACACUGAUGUUGCUAGUUAAAGACUCCCAUGUUGUGAAUAUGAGAGGAAGAAGCAAGGUUGUGGUUUCAGCCCUUUUAUUAGUGGUUGUAGCCUUUCUGUUUUUAAAAUGUCAUUGCUGCAACACUCCUCCUCUCCAGUGUUCAUUUCUGUGAAUUUUGAUAAUCAUGUGGCUACUCCUGAUCUGAGGCUGAUGAGUUCUCUUUGGUUUUAUGUCUGAAAGUCGUCCCUUCAUCUUCUCUGUUCAAAGGUGUUUUUUGAAGAGCAGAGGAUUCUAAGUUGACAAUAUGUACUUUCAUGUGCUGGUUUUAUGUUGAUUCACCGUCUCAGGUCUUGACCUGUUUCCAGCAAGAGCUCUCUGUAGGUCUGCCUCGGCUCUACUGUUCCCAGAGUGUGAUUGUUUCUCUAGCAGCGUCUUGACUUCUCUUUAGCACUCGUAAGCAGUGUGAGUUUUGAUGGGUUUGAGGGUAGCUUUCUUUUUAAGCUUGAGCUUCUUAGUCGUCAUAGAUCCUUGGAUUUACAUUUCUUAUUAAAUCUUAAAGCUUUUCAACUGUUAAGUUUUCUGUCACUGUCACUGCCCCUGCUCCCCAUUCCUGUUCUCUGUCACUUUCUCUCUUCCAGACUAGGGUUGAGUUGGCACAGUGACUAAGAGAAUACCUUCUGAAUAGUCAAUCUGAUGCCUCAUGUAUUCCGAGGCUUCCUGUUUAUGAGAAUAGUAGCUCUUUCCCUUAGCCUAACAGGGCUUUCUCACAAAUGUUUCCUUUGGAUUUUUGAAAAUCUGUGAUGCUCUGGAUAUAAAUCCUAAUCUUCUUAACCUCAAGUCUUUGCAACUGCAGAGCCCUAGCUGGCUGCCUGGGUUCUCCUUCCCAUCCUGCAACCUAAGCAUUAAGCCAGGUAAUUGUAAGAGUACCUUUCUAUUUUUUUUUCUCGGAUGACUGUUGUGUGUCACCUAUCUCCAGAGCAUGACAAUCGUUUUCUCGUGUGUUUUGGCUAUUUAAUUCUAGAGGAACCGUCUAGGUCUAUAUUACUCCACCAUGGCCUGUGGUGGAACACUGGUGUGUUGUUUACUAGGGUAAACCCUUCCUUCAUGAUUCAUAUAAUAAAUAAGCAUGAUGCCUUUCUCCAGAUGUGAAGCUGGGUUACGUGUAAGAAGUGCAGCCGAGGUGAUGGUCACUGAUGUUCCCAGGAGAUGAGCCUGGGCUCCUAGCGGGGGAGCAGUCUGCACAAGAGUGAGACCCAAAAGGGCAGACACAAGAUCUGUUAGACACAAGGACCUCCAAGCACAUUAGCAGGUUGGGUGCAUAAUGUUUGUGAUGCUCCCUCCGUUCAAGCUUUCCUGUGGUCAGCAGGCACCUGCUGAGGACCCACAUGUCAGCCUGCAUUCUAAGACCUGGGGAUCUCUGUCCUGAAGGAGCUGUGGAAACACAGCAUGUUGACUUCUCUGUGUCCCUGUAACUCACUCCACAUCUGGCCUUCUGUGUGUGUCUGUUUCCUUCUGCCUUCACCUCUUCUCCUCCCUUUCUCCAGUUUAUAUGACCUUUGCACAGUAGCUUGUUCUCAUGUGUGCAGGCAAGUUGUCAGAUCUCUUUUAUUGUCAUUUUAUAUUACAUUUACCGUGUGUGUGUGUGUGUGUGUGUGUGUGUGUGUGUGUGUGUGUGUGUAUGUGUAUUUCUGCUUGUCGGGGGAGGCUAUCUGUUCUCUCUCUCUCUCUCUCUCUCUCUCUCUCUCUCUCUCUCUGUGUGUGUGUGUGUGUGUGUGUGUGUGUGUGUGUGUGUCAGUGUCAAAGCCCAGAACAACUUGUGGAAGCCGCUUCUCUUCCCCUCCUAUGUGGGUUCUAGGGAUUGAACUCAUGUCACCAAGCUUGGCAGCUAGUGUUCUUACUGACUUAGCCAUCUCACUGACCUGUAUCAUUUUCUUCCUUCUACUAAUAUUUAUUUUACUUUUAGAGUAAAAGUCCUUACAAACAUCUAUAUGGCUCUGAGAGACCCAGGCCCUGCACUUUUCUCUUUGAGUUCAUCUGUCCCCUCUGACUCUGCUCCUUACCCUCAGCCCAUGUGCCACCUUUCUGCCACUGUCAAAAACAGCAGAGUGGCCCUGCCAUGCGGUCUUCACAUUCACCAGAGUGGUCCUGCCAUGAGGUCCUCACACUCACCUGUCUGCAGCUCUGAUACUUAGAAUCCACUUCUUCUGACCUCCCUCAGGACUGGCUCAGCUGUGAUCUCAGGGUCCUGCCUGGGUUCUCCCUGUCUGGCUCUCCUACCCUCUCACCCCUCCCAGGCCUGUCUUCUUUUUCUUGUUUACAUGUAUUUCUCUUUUAAGUUACACUGUGAAAUCUAUCAUCGUGUACGCUAGCAUGUGCAUUGUGUGAGAGCACAGUGAAGCCACACAAGCCUUCCCUAGUAAAGCAUACGUACAAGGGCACCCGUACUCUGUGACUCCUGAGUUGACAUCUAAUAUGUUCUGAGACGUAAGGUGAUUCAAGUUUUCCUCCAACUCUUUUAGUAACCCAGUUUAACCUGGUCUGACAAAUCCACUUCUGUGAUGAGUCUGGUUAGAGGCCUCUCUGCAGAAAUGUCAAUGAGCUGAGUCCAUGGUGCACCCCAGCCCUGCCAACAGUGUCUAGUGACGUACAGCAUAUGCCAUAUAUCACCCUCAUAAAGUCCCAAAUUCUGAUGUUCAUCUGACUUUGGUCUGUGUAAGAUGCUGAGUGCUUGUGUACUUUUUCCGGUGUGCUGUCUGCUGACCUGAAGCCCGCCCCCCGGCCAUGACCUGCCUGACUUCUGCUCUCACUGUUUUUCUCCAGCUUUGCAAACCUGGGAAUACUUCAUGUGACUAAGAAAAAGGUAUUUGAAACACUGGAAGCACGGAUGACAGAGGCGUGUAUUAGGGGCUAUAAUCCUGGACUUCUGGUGCAUUCUGACCUUGCCUAUCUACAAGCAGAAGGCGGAGGAGACCGGCAACUCACAGGUGAGCCAGCUGACCCAGCCUUAAUUAAGGCUUCUAUGUUCCAGGAUGACUGCAGCCAUCAGCGUGCCAGGCUAUCAGAGGGAAGGGGAUCAGUGCAGCCCGGUCUUUCCUUUCUGUGCUGGGCACCGUGGAGAAGCGGAGCCCACACACAAAGACUCUGCAUGCUUGUUCUCACCUAUGUCUGCGCAGCCGGCGGUGCAGAGACGUGCAUUUCCCUGUACUCCUCGCAUUCUAUGUGUGCCUUAUCUCUUAGCAAGCGUAGGAGAGUAGAUGGGUGAGCAUGGGAGAAGACAAUAUUUACAAUACUCCAGAGAAAACGCAGCUUACCUUUGAUGGGUUUUUAGGCAAUUUAAUAAGACCAUUGUGUAAAAUUUUACUAACAGUUUAAAGAAUUUCAGGCCAAAGUAACCAAAAGAAAAAAGAAGACUCAGUUAUUAAAAUUAAAGGUGAAAAUCAGGGAAACAUUAUCAGAGGUAAUGGUCAAAUCCAAAGAAUCAUUAGGGCUUUGAAAAUAUGUAUUACAGUAAAUUAGAAUAUCUCACAGAAACGGGUAAGUUCACAGGUACAUCUGACCUGCCAGUGUUAAACUAAGAAGAUAGAAACAACUUACACAGACCUAAGACAAGCAAUAAAAUAUCUCCCAACUGAAAAAUACCCGGUCCUAAAUGGAAUCAUGGCUGAAUUCUGUCAGAUAUUUGAAGAGAUAACGUAAAUCCUCCUUAAACUGUUCCAUAAAGUAGAAAGGGGAAGAAUAUCAACAAACUUAUUUUCCAAAGCCAGCAUUACUUUUAUACCCAAACCAGGUAAAAG
rnacentral:lncRNA from 1 species